GGUGGCUCAGUGGCAGAGCGCUUGCCUUGUAUGCAUGAGGCCCUGGGUUCAAUUCCUCAGCACCA
rnacentral:tRNA from 1 species